AAAACCAACGUUUCGGUUGAUUCAGUCUCCCCAGGCCACAUUACAGCUGGUUUACAUUUCUUGAUCAGAGAUCUCUAAUCUUGCCUUAGCACGGGCCCUCGUGUGACUUCCCUCUUCUGCUGAAAUUUAAUUCCAUUGGGCAAAUAUGUAUAACCAUUCGUUGCUCACACUGUGUCCUGAGACAAGCAAGGGAGUGGGAGAGGUGCCCUUCAGAAAGGCCCAGAUGCCGCAGGACAGGGCUUCCAGGCUGCCGGUGCAGGAAGAGGGAAGGCGCUGCCUCGGUCCGGUUGCAGGGCAACAGCAGCACUAGCGGGCUUUAUGCGUCUGGUCUGCCAUCACUCGCUGUUUGCAAACUGGGGACCAAGGAAUCUGCUGCCGCUGUCUGAAGGGGAGCCAGUGGUGUGGGCCCCGGCCCGGGGCCAGGUGAAGACCAGUGUCCCAGAUGCAGAAGUCGAGCAGAGAGUGAAUUCUCCUUUCCUCUGCCUUUUUUUCCGUCCGGGCCCUCGGAGCACUGGACGAGGCCCACCCUCGUCAGAGAGGACAACCUGCUUCACUGCCUCAAAUAUUAACCUCACCCAGAAACAGCCUCACAGACACAGCCUGAAUCAGGUUCGAGCAAAUACCCCGGGUGCCUGUGGCCCUGGUGGAUGUAAAAUUGACCCUUCCAGGUGGACAGGCCCAGGUGGGUGUGGCCGGCUGGCCAUUUCCCUGAUCGCCCCUAGAGUGAUGUGGUCCUCACGGCCUUCCAGGAAGUGGGCUAAGAUCUGUCUGCGUGCUUCCCAGAGCAGUGAAUAAGGCUCUGUCUCCCAACCUCAUCCACGCCUCCCUGGGCUCAGGCUGUGAACCCCCGUCUGGACGUAUCCAUGGCGAGCGGGGUGAGCGGGUUGCAUAGGCCGAGCCUUGUCCCCAGUGACCACUGGGGAGCCGUGUGGCCGCACCUGCCUCUCGGCGCUUGGUGGGAAGAAUAGAGCCAGUCCCAUACAGGGAGGACGUGUUGACCGAGGGGACAAAGGUGGAAUCGUUCCCCCAGGCCGGCUUGUGGUGUUGUCAGCUGGAGAACACCGUCUCGCUUGAACAGAGCCCGCCAUGGCCUCACAUAAUGAAGUGCAAACAGGAUUUUGAAAAAAGGGUGCACAGCCCACAAUUUUGUAAGGAGCUCUGGUUGGACUUCCUGCCUACACUGAGUUUAAUUGGUAGGCCAUCCACAUCAGACAUUUUCACGCAAUGUCUACCCUUCGGCAAGGUUCCCACGGAGCACAGAAAGUGGAAAGAACCUCUUCCCAUCUGCUGGGUGGCCACACAUUAGGAACAGUGAUAACACCCAGCGACAACCCACAUUUCACGUUCUUCUGCAGCGCUUUCUAUGGUCAAAGCUUUCUCCUGCCUCCGAAAUCUUCUUGUCAUGUUCUGAGUCCUCCCUGAAGAAUGUGAAGUCUUGGGACGCCUGUCUGCUGGCUUUCACUGGUGCUUGGUGCAUAGAAACUGUUUCUCUACCCGUCAGGUGUGUGUGGGGUCCCAGACCACCCCGGCGAGACCCACGGUAAUGAGCACUGGUUUCUGCUCUGCCUACGACAGGCGUUUACUGAAGUCCCAGGAGGCACCGGGCUACAUCCACAGCUGGAAACAAAACCAACUGGCCACCGCCCUCACUUUGGCCUCGCGACAGCCAGGCGGUGCUUGAAAGGACAGUGAUGACUGGAUCUCACUUCAGUGACCACACGGGACCCAGGUAAGGACAUUGACCCAAGACACCAACCAGAUGCAAAGUCUACACAUCGGUGAAGAGACUAGAACUGUCUCUCUGUUGCUGCACCACACGGUAUAGGGUGCGUCCUGUGUCACAUGGACACUGCUGAGCAGGCGUCGCCCAGAAAAGCAGGUGGACAGGGGCUCCGGGCAAAUUAAAUACUCACGGAGGAUUUCAGCGGAGGAGGCAGAAGGGAAACUUGUGACUGGAGUAAGGUGAAGGAAGGCUGGGGCACAAAGGACACGGGAAAGAGGUGCGGGCACAGCCCAGGGGCUCUGGAGGCUCGUCUGGGACUUUAGAUGUCUUUCUUGAUGAGAAAGAAAAACUCUGAAAUAUUUUCAGUAUAGGAGUUGUGUGGCCAGACGUGUGGCUUCCAAAGACCACCCUGGGUGCUGUGUGAGAAGGGACUGGAGAAGGCUGGGCGUGGGGACCGAGAGCCAGGGUCUGCCAGGGGGUGGCUCCAUUCGUUCACGGGAAGACUAAGGCUGAGCCCCAGGUGGGGCCGGAGAUGAAGGACAGUGGACAUGCUCGGUACAAGCAUGUCGCUGAGGAGCUGCACGGGCAGGACGUGGCAGGGGGUGCUGCUCCGAGAUGCCUUCCUGGACACCGGUUCCCAUGAUGAAGGCUGUGCUGUCGGG